rnacentral:rRNA from 1 species
UACAGAGGUCCCAAGCGUUGUUCGGAUUCACUGGGCGUAAAGGGUGCGUAGGUGGUCGGGUAAGUCCGAUGUGAAAUCUCCAGGCUUAACCUGGAAAUGGCAUUGGAUACUAUUCGGCUGGAGGAGUGGAGGGGGGACUGGAAUUCUCGGUGUAGCAGUGAAAUGCGUAGAUAUCGAGAGGAACACCAGUGGCGAAGGCGAGUCCCUGGACACUUCCUGACACUGAGGCACGAAAGCUAGGGGAGCAAACAGG